UAUAUGUAAUCCAUUUCUCAUCCAUGUUAUGAGGAGAAAAACAGAAAAUACUACACUUAUUAUCUGCAUCUAAACUCUCUCUCUCUCAAGUUCUUAGAAGCAAAGCUCUCUCCAUUUUCUGAAACACUUUCUAUGUUAGUUUUACAACACGUUAUCAGCACGACUAGCUCUAGGAUUCGGAUUGUCGAUCGACAAGAGAAGAGGUGAAUAACUCUUGGGUUGCAGAAAAGAAGAGGUUCAUCAUUCAAUCAACAUCAAUCUACCAGCUCUACAACCAAGCAAGAUACAAUGAGGCUGUGUACUUAAGAGAGCCUCGCUCCACCCAAACCUCAUACUCUUACCUGGUCGUAUUUAAUUGGAGUUACCAAAAGGGUUGAGUAAUAACUUUUCAUUCCUUGGCAGACCAGCUUGAGCCCAGCAGGCCUACUCUCCCUCUGCGGGACCUAGCAGCCCAGCAGGCCUCACACACCAUUUAAAUUACGCAUGAAAGACCGGGUCACAAGCCCGCAAACUAAGCCCGAUAGGCUUCACUAUCAAGCCUACUCCUUUGGUCCAGCAGAAUCAAAUAAAAGGAAAAAUGAUUUGAUAUUGUAAAUAGAUUCACCAUAUUUAAUAUGUGUAAUUAAUUGCCAGAAGCAUUUAUUCACAUAAUUGUGUGAUAAUUAAUAUGUUAUUUUACUAGCAUGCAAUUAAUAUCUCAAUUAAUUUGUGAUUUUUAUUUA